UACGUAGGGUGCGAGCGUUAAUCGGAUUCACUGGGCGUAAAGGGUGCGUAGGCGGUCGGGUAAGUCUGAUGUGAAAUCUCACAGCUUAACUGUGAAACUGCAUUGGAUACUAUCCGGCUCGAGGAAUGGAGGGGAGACUGGAAUACUUGGUGUAGCAGUGAAAUGCGUAGGUAUCAAGUGGAACACCAGUGGCGAAGGCGAGUCUCUGGACAUUUCCUGACGCUGAGGCACGAAAGCCAGGGGAGCAAACGGG
rnacentral:rRNA from 1 species